UAUGUUGAACACCUUGACCCGCACAUUUAGCCUGUUAUUUUACCUUCAUUGUUGAAGUUUUGAAUUCUGCUCAAAACUAGCUCGCUAAAUGUGUUGGAAUUAAGGUUUUUUGAUGGU
rnacentral:pre_miRNA from 1 species